CACGUAGUUGGCCGGUGCUUCUUCUGUAGGUACCGUCACUUGCGCUUCGUCCCUACUGAAAGAGGUUUACAACCCGAAGGCCGUCAUCCCUCACGCGGCGUCGCUGCAUCAGGCUUUCGCCCAUUGUGCAAUAUUCCCCACUGCUGCCUCCCGUAGGAGUCUGGGCCGUGUCUCAGUCCCAGUGUGGCCGGUCGCCCUCUCAGGCCGGCUACCCGUCGUCGCCUUGGUAGGCCAUUACCCCACAACAAGCUGAUAGGCCGCGGGCCCAUCCUGUACCGCAAAAGCUUUCCACCAACCCCCAUGCAGGGGAAGGUCAUAUCCGGUAUUAGACCCAGUUUCCCAGGCUUAUCCCGAAGUACAGGGCAGGUCACCCACGUGUUACUCACCCGUUCGCCACUCGUGUACCCCCGAAGGGGCCUUACCGUUCGACUUGCAUGUGUUAAGCACGCCGCCAGCGUUCGUCCUCGUAGCCAGGAUCAAACGUACU
rnacentral:rRNA from 1 species